GGAGGCAGCCAGUGGGGAAUAUUGGACAAUGGGGGGAACCCUGAUCCAGCCAUGCCGCGUGUGUGAAGAAGGCCUUAUGGUUGUAAAGCACUUUAAGCGAGGAGGAGGCUCUUUUGGUUAAUACCCAAGAUGAGUGGACGUUACUCGCAGAAUAAGCACCGGCUAACUCUGUGCCAGCAGCCGCGGUAAUACAGAGGGUGCAAGCGUUAAUCGGAUUUACUGGGCGUAAAGCGCGCGUAGGCGGCCAAUUAAGUCAAAUGUGAAAUCCCCGAGCUUAACUUGGGAAUUGCAUUCGAUACUGGUUGGCUAGAGUGUGGGAGAGGAUGGUAGAAUUCCAGGUGUAGCGGUGAAAUGCGUAGAGAUCUGGAGGAAUACCGAUGGCGAAGGCAGCCAUCUGGCCUAACACUGACGCUGAGUUUCGAAAGCCGU
rnacentral:rRNA from 1 species